GGGCUAAUAGCUCAUUUGGUAGAGCGUUCGCUUUGCAUCACGUCGCCUCCUUGGUUUCUCGUGUCCUCAUCUGCGAAAGGUACAGGGUUCGACUCCCUGUUAGUCCA